rnacentral:rRNA from 1 species
CAUCGCCUAUAGCUUAGUUUAUAGGUAAUGCCUGCCCAAUGAUAUAUUUAAUGGCCGCAGUAUUUUGACUGUGCAAAGGUAGCAUAAUCAUUUGUCUCCUAAUUAGAGGCUGGUAUGAAUGGCAACACGUGGGGUAAACUGUUUCAUUAGAAAACUUUUAACUUAAUCUUUAAGUCAAAAAGCUUAAAUAAAAUUGCAGGACGAGAAGACCCCGUAGAUCUUUAUAUUGAAUGUUUUUAUUAUAUUAGAAGAUUAUAAAUAAAAAUAUAUUAAUAUUUAAUUGGGGUGAUGUGAAGUCAUAAACACUUCUUUUUUAACAAAAAUACAAGGAUAUAUGACCCGGUACACCGAUUCAAAAUUUAAGUUACCUCGGGGAUAACAGCGUAAUCUGCCUUUAGAGUCCUUAUCAAAUGGUAGGUUUGCGACCUCGAUGUUGGAUUAAGAUACCGCCCAUGAGCAGCCCCAUGGGGCGGGGGUCUGUUCGACCUAUAAAUUCUUACAUGAUCU